rnacentral:rRNA from 1 species
CCUACGGGUGGCAGCAGUGGGGAAUAUUGGACAAUGGGCGAAAGCCUGAUCCAGCCAUGCCGCGUGUGUGAAGAAGGCCUUCGGGUUGUAAAGCACUUUCAGUGGGGAAGAAAGCCUUGGGGCUAAUACCCUCGAGGAAGGACAUCACCCACAGAAGAAGCACCGGCUAACUCCGUGCCAGUAGCCGCGGUAAUACGGAGGGUGCGAGCGUUAAUCGGAAUUACUGGGCGUAAAGCGCGCGUAGGCGGUCUGAUAAGCCGGUUGUGAAAGCCCCGGGCUCAACCUGGGAACGGCAUCCGGAACUGUCAGGCUAGAGUGCAGGAGAGGAAGGUAGAAUUCCCGGUGUAGCGGUGAAAUGCGUAGAGAUCGGGAGGAAUACCAGUGGCGAAGGCGGCCUUCUGGACUGACACUGACGCUGAGGUGCGAAAGCGUGGGUAGCAAACAGGAUUAGAUACCCGAGUAGUC